GAUGAACGCUGGCGGCGUGCCUAAUACAUGCAAGUCGAGCGAACGGACGAGAAGCUUGCUUCUCUGAUGUUAGCGGCGGACGGGUGAGUAAAACGUGGAUAACCUACCUAUAAGGCUGGGAUAACUUCGGGAAACCGGAGCUAAUACCGGAUAAUAUUUUGAACCGCAUGGUUCAAAAGUGAAAGACGGUCUUGCUGUCACUUAUAGAUGGAUCCGCGCUGCAUUAGCUAGUUGGUAAGGUAACGGCUUACCAAGGCAACGAUGCAUAGCCGACCUGAGAGGGUGAUCGGCCACACUGGAACUGAGACACGGUCCAGACUCCUACGGGAGGCAGCAGUAGGGAAUCUUCCGCAAUGGGCGAAAGCCUGACGGAGCAACGCCGCGUGAGUGAUGAAGGUCUUCGGAUCGUAAAACUCUGUUAUUAGGGAAGAACAUAUGUGUAAGUAACUGUGCACAUCUUGACGGUACCUAAUCAGAAAGCCACGGCUAACUACGUG
rnacentral:rRNA from 1 species